GGAGUCUGCCUACAUUGGCUUGUCCACUGAUUCAGAGGAUGAAAUUAUGCUGGCAUCACCUGUAAGAAGCUACAGUCCUGAUCAACAAAAAGACCUUGCAUCAGUUUUGACAGAAUUCAGACAAGACAAUUUAGACUUGACCACCACUGUCACUGUUGUGGCUCGCCGAAGGAAAAUAUUACAUAGUGCAUGUGUUGCACUUGAUAAGUCUUACUUUGACUGGCAUAAAAUGCCAAAUGUGGAAUUUGUUGGGCAGAUGACUACGGAGGACCACGACGAGAGUUUUUCAGGUUAAAAAUAAUUGACAUUAAUUUGUCAUUAAUGUCAAUGUCAUUUGUCAUUAAUUUGUCAUUAAUUUGCCAAAAAAAUAUUUAAAAAUUACCUGUGUUUUAAAAAGCAAUCUUGAUUAUCUCUCUUUUUUUAAAGACUUCUCAUGACAGAAGUGCAGGAAUCACUUGGUAUAUUUGAGGGAAGACCUGAGAAUCUGAACUUUGGAUAUAAUCAACAAGCACUGUUGCAGAAUAAAUACUACACUGCUGGAAAACUCAUUGCAUGCUCCAUUGUGCAUAAUGGACCUGGGAUCAGAUGUCUUAACCAGCAUCUUUUCAAACUAAUGUGUGACCAGAAAGCCGAUCUAAGCACAUUUAACACUGAAACAUUCCAGGAUGCAGAUUUGCAACACCGACUAAAAAAGAUAUUACAGUGCAAGACCAGAGAGGACAUGGAAGAGAUCAAAGGAGAACUGGGAGAUGGAUUGCUGAAUGUGGGAUCCCAAAUGUGUUCUCUGCAGCAGUGGCUGAUAUUCUACUUGUACCACAGGGUGGCCAGCAUGAUACAACAGUUUGUUGCUGGGAUGGAUGCAUGUGGACAGCUGUGGUAAACAGUACAGAGGAACUGUAUUAACUUUACGCCAAUGUUUACAUACACACAUGAAAAACUCUCCCGAAGUGAUAUUCAGGACAUGUUCAACAUCAAAUGGAGUCCACAAGGCAGCAAUAAUAGAGAGAGGGAGGAGGACACCAUCUUUCUCUGGGAGUGUUGGUUGAUGUCUAUUGAAAGUAAGCAAUAUAAAGCAUUUAUGCCAAAUGCAUUGUGCUGAAUGUUGUUGAACUUUUUGUACUGUUCUCUGAUUUCCAUAGAUAAAGAGCUAGACAUUACCUUUGAAGAAAUUCUGAUCUUCGCACCGGGAGCUGAUUCUGUACCCCCUCUCGGUUUUCCACGAGCGUGUGAGAUCCAGUUCUAUGAUCAAGAGCCAGGAAGCCAGCGGAUUCCAUACUCUUCAACCUGUGCCCUUGUUCUGUAUUUGCCCAGAGGUAUUACAGAAGAAACUGAUUUUAAAGACCUCAUGCUGCUGGCCUUAAAAUGC
ensembl:lncRNA